GAACUGGAGAGUUUGAUCCUGGCUCAGAUUGAACGCUGGCGGUAGGCCUAACACAUGCAAGUCGAACGGUAACGGACCGCUGGGAUUCCUUCGGGAUGACCUUGGUGCCGACGAGUGGCGGACGGGUGAGUAACACGUA
rnacentral:rRNA from 1 species